rnacentral:rRNA from 1 species
UACGUAGGCAGCGAGCGUUGUUCGGAGUUACUGGGCGUAAAGGGUGUGUAGGCGGCCAACUAAGUCGGACGUGAAAUCCCCAGGCUCAACCUGGGAACUGCGUCCGAUACUGGAUGGCUUGAAUUCGGGAGAGGGAUGCAGAAUUCCAGGUGUAGCGGUGAAAUGCGUAGAUAUCUGGAGGAAUACCGGUGGCGAAGGCGGCAUCCUGGACCGACAUUGACGCUGAGGAGCGAAAGCUAGGGGAGCAAACGGG